UGCUGCUGUAGGAACUUGCUGUCCACUACUUGGCUCCAGGACUCUGCCUCCAGCUGCUUGGAAUCUAAUUCCAGUUCUCCCAUGAGCUGUCCUUCAUUCAUGUCCGCUCCUUCACAAAGCAAUAAUCAUCACCAGGGGAUCUCAGCAGUCAAAACCAGCCACAGGAAGGAAAGAACAUGGAUCCCUGUGCAGAACUGACUGCACUGCACUAUGCCUAAAAUUCCUAGAUGGAGAAAUAGGAAUAUGAGAAAGUACUGAUAGUACUGAGGAGAACUGAAAAUCAUACUUGUAUAAACAUUAUUUAUCUUGGAGAACCAGGUUCCUUGCAUUUGAAGAAACUCGGAACUGCCAUUCGGGAUUCAGCUGGCUGCCCCUUCCCCUGCUCACAUCUACCAGGAGGAACAGAGGACUCCAGCCUGGGAGCAGUUCCCAUAAAUGCUUUGACUUAUCUCUAGGCUAGUGGAGUAAAAAAUUACUAAUAGUGAGGAAAGAAGAGCCCUGAGCUGCAGUGGGAAAAAGACAUUUUUGUCUUCAUAUUCUAUAGCUUUGGGCUGCUGCAUAAACCAGGCAGCAUUCUGGGCUCGACCACACAAACUCUGCUGACCUUAUCGAGCUACAGGCAUGAGAAACUGUGUGAUAAGAAAAGAGAACAAAAUCACCAAUCUGGCAGAACCCCCCAGAUGUGUUUCCCAUCCUGCCUGGACUGUAGUGCACGUACCUCACACACACACACACAGGUAGUUGCCAUUUGACCUGUGAUGCAAUUUCUUGUACAAAGGGAGAAGAGGGUGAGUAUUUCCUUUUUGUACCAUGUGGUUCUGACCACGGGCUCACCGAAGCAGUUCAGAGAACUAAAGCAAUACACUACAGAUGGGUGGGACUUUUUUUUCCCUUUGGAAGUAAAAGCCACGAUCCAAGCCAGCUGUCCCUGUCCUUUGUCCAUCUUAUCAAAGCAGCUCAGGCCCAAGGCAUAACAUGCAGCUGAAAUAAACAAAGUUCUCCAGCUGACUGACACAGCCCAACAAGGGGUAGAAAACCCUGUAGGAUGCUGUGAUGGCUGAGCUCAAGCUUGGAAUGAGGUUGCAGGACACCUCCAUGCAGCCACGACUCAUUUCAGUCCAGUUUCCACAAGGCAACAUGCUGCUGCUCCAUGAAUCACUAUCUCCAAAGUCUCCCUCCCACCCUACAUCCUUAAGCAAAACGAAAAGAAGGCGUAAGGUUCGCAUUUUCCAUGUCAGAUUCAAUGAAAAACAAAAGGAAGGGAGGGAACCUCCCCUGACUUACUUGCACAGUAGUACGAAUCCUUAUUGAAAGGCUUCAUACAGUGGUAACAGGUUGCUUGGGCUACAACGGAGGUUGCAGUGAAGACAUGUCCAUUUGACAUCUUCUUAUCUUUUUCCUUCUCCUUGGAAUCUUUGUCCUUCUCUUUAGUCUUCUCUUUAUCUUUCUCCUUUUCCUGCAGAGCGAAAAUGACCAAAAGCCUCGUUACUCUGCAGAGGUCUAUUCUCUAGUUACAAAUUCCUCAGUGUUUGCCUUUGGCACCGCGACGAUAUCGACCAGUGCACACCUCAACAAUGGUCAUGUGUCUGCCCAGCUCUCCCUUACAAAAACCACCUUACAGCCCCCAUGGAUGUGGAUUUACAUACUACUGACUCACAGAUGUCUCACCAGCAGAUAUGAAACUCAGUCUGUUCUGAAGGCAGCUACUUUCUUUCACCUCUGUUUUAUAUUUGUUGGUUUAAUGACUUUACCUCUUUCCUUCUUCUGGGCUCUCAUCAGCCUCUUCGGUGCUUUCAAUGAAUUGUGUUAAAUACAAACACCACAUGCAGUGUGUGUCAAAUUUUCAACACAGUUAAUUUUUAAGGCCAACCUGUAAAGCUUGAGAUUUGCAACUGCAUUUUUAAUGAAGAACACAAGGUCUUCCUCAGUGCCUGUACAGCCUCACUGCCAGAAUAUUUCCACCUCUGUUUUCCUUCCAACUAGCAACUUUUUCAAUAGUUACAUGCAACUCCAAGUAAUCAUGUGAAGCUUUUUGGGAAAAUGGAUCUUUUACAAACUCUUGACAUAUGGCACCACAGAAAGGCAGAGGAACAGCAGCAACACCAUAAAAGAUACUCUCAUUUUCCACAAGCCACAGUUCAACCUCUGGGCUACUCAGAUUUGGAAAGAUGACAAGCACAGCCACCUUAUCCAACUUUUAGCAGAAUUUCUGCUUACUUUUCUAUCACUACCUGAGAUAGAAAAUACUAAAUACUGAAAAUUUGAAACAUUUUCCCCUGCAGCCUUUCAUGGAUUUGGAAUUCUUCCAAACAAUUUUUAAAGGAAACUCCACAGAAAAUCUCCAGAUUUGAAUUACAGUGACUCCUUGUCUUUCUAUGUACCAACCUAUAACAUGUUUGCCAUAAGAUUCAGCUGCAGGUCUGUAACUGUUACUGUGGAUUUCCUGGCAUCUGAAAGAGAAGCUUAACCAGAAACUGGUAAAGGCUUCUGUGAGCUUAUCUUUGCAUUUUGUUAUUUAUAUGCUGCUAUGUGUCAUCUGCCUAAUAUUGUCACAGCCUGAAUAUCAGAGAGCUGCAGAGCAGCCCGUGUGAGCAACUGCCAUGAAGUGGUUAAAAGAGGUAUCGAGCUCUGCAGUCACCCGCAGGGAAACUGUUGAGCUCUUGAUGACACACUCAAAUAAUGAGUAACUCAGCCUAAGGACUCUCUUCUCCCAACACUUCCCAGGCAAAAUGCCCAGUGUCGGAGUCUCUCCCUGUAAAGUGUCAUAAACAAAAAGUCUAUUUACUGGCCCCAAACGCUAUUUUGUUCUGCAAAUAAGCAAAACUAGGAGCAUUACCAUAUGGAACAAUCCUGUCUGAAGCAGAAAACCUGCCAGGAAGAGUCUGUGUUGCAUCUGUGUUGCAUCAUAUCUCCGCCUCCUUUGAGCCAUCAGCUUGGCUCACCACCCCACAGAAACCUCCACAGUCCCAUCCUCCAUCCACUGACCUGCCCACCUUAAACCAUGUCCAGCCUGGCAAGAUUCAAGAAAUUAAACUGCAGUUUAGGCCUUGGCUGAUGGUAUUAAGCUGAUGCCUGGAGUUUUGCCCUAUUGCCAAGUCUUGUGAAGCUCCAGGAGAAAAGAUCACUCUAAGCUCAGGGCAAAUCUUGUGACUCUCAUGAUGAAAGGAGAUUUCCCAUCCUGUACUUUAAACCUACCUGAUGUCUACUGCAAAGCCCAGUAAUUCUGAAGUCUGGAAUAAUACCCUGCCUUCAUGAAAAUUACUGUAAAAAACAUUUUAAUUAAAGCUGAACGACCCCAGAAAAAAACAGGAAAUGGGUGCACCACUUUCAAGGAGGAAACAGCACAGUGUGCACAGGCUGCCAGCCACUCCACUGAAGGACAAGGUCUCAAAACGACAUUUUUUUUUUUUUUUCAGCUUUUUUCCUAUGACAGUUACUGGAACUUUAUUUUUAAAAAGGAUUGUAAAAAAACAAGACCAUUUUCCUGAGCUAUUGGAGCUGCCAGCAAGAUUUGAAGCCCGGCUCUGCGGCUGAACCGACGCGCCGGAACAGACACGACAGGUGCCGCAGACCCGAAGGAACAGAUCUGCAGCAGCCGAUCCCUCCCCCAAAGAACCACGAAGCUCUUACCUCCCAGUGCUUAAGUCCUACCAGCUUCACUGUUAUCUGAGGUACUUCUGCAAACCUAUUCCAUUUUAUCGACAUCCUUCCCCCGGGGGGCAGGAGCGCUGCUCCCCACCAGCACUAGCCCAUCCUGACAGGCGGGAGCUGCCGGCAAGGCCAGCUGGGGGGAUGGCAGGCACGGAGCAGUUGAGCAAAAAGGGGAGGGCGGGACGAUUGCUGCUAACUUCCUUGAAGAUGAUUUUAGCUACUUUGCUGUUGCUUUCAUCUUGCCCUACCCUAGCUUCCACUGCUAAAGAGAAGGAAAAAAAAAAUACACAGGGCAGAAAAGGAUGUGAUUAAUCUUCUAGAAGUCACAAGUCACCACGAGACCACCCAUUUAAAAGGUAAGAGGGUAGUAAAUCAAACACUCUGUGAUGUUUGGGAUAGAAAUAAAGCGAAUUUUAACAUA